rnacentral:rRNA from 1 species
AUGAAAUCAUUAUAUCAACAACUGAUAAAAACGGAUGUGGGUUUCCCACACAAAUUCCUUUGGAAAAUAAAAAUUCCAGCGAAAAUUAAGAUGUUUCUAUGGCUGUUUGCCAGGAAAAGUAUACUGACUAGAGAUAACCUUGCUAAAAAAGGAUGGAAAGGGGAUCAAAAGUGUGUUUUUUGUGGUCAAGAUGAAACAAUAGACCACCUUUUUUUUCUCUUGUUCAGCCGCAAAAUUACUUUGGAGUUUAAUUAG